AUGGCGGCCGCGGGCAGUCGCGCCGGUACCUCGCGGCCGCCGCCAUGUUGGGUGCGGCGCGAGCGACCCGCCUCUGCCAGGCCACGCCCCUUUGCCGUUGGACCGAGCUCCGCCCCUUGCCGCCUGCCUGCGCCCCCUGCCCGUUGGGCCUCGUCCUGUCUGCGCCCCGCCCCCUGCCCGUUGGGCCUCGUCCCUGGCUGGGCUCCGCCCCCUGGCUGGUGGGGUGGGGCGGGGCUGAGCGCGGCGUGGCGCUGCCUCCUCCUCAACUCUGCCCCGGGGCAGGCGGCGCAAGGGGUGGGGGCGUGGGUGUCUCGGCUUAAUGGUGCAGAGGCCAAGCGCCAGCCACCCCCGGGUGAAGUCCGGGUCGGGGCCAGGACGAAAUCCAGAGGUCCUGCCAGACAGCCCGGGAGCCGAAUUUCACCUUCCCCCCCCAGGCAGAUGCCCCCGGCCCUUGAGCCAGAUCGACGUCUCGCUCUCCAUCCGUGCAUCUCCAAGCAUGGACUAACCGGGCGCUGCUGUCGUCGGCGCAGGGCCGCCCUGCCUUCUUCCCGAGGACGGCGGUGCACGCAGAGCCGGGUGGGCAUCGGGGCCCCGAUCCUGGCACCAUGUCCUACCUGACAACUUCUAGUGGAUGGACAGUGUCCUGAUCAAAAACACGUCACUGCUUGUACUCAGACUGAGUAACACCUUACUCCGCAAGUCCUCCGUCUAGCAUGAAUAGAGUAAUGCAAGGUAAUGUGCUCCUCUACAGCGGGGACAAAAUCCGCCCCGCUUGUUUGUGUCAGUUCACGCCGUCAAUACAGCGUUCUGCAGUGUUGUGCUCUUUUCUACCCAGUGUAAAUCCCAGUCCUUUCAGCUCCUUGAAUUUCCAGGCCAACAACCGUAAUGAAAAGUCUUUUGGCUAUUUUCAUGGCUCAGCCACUGAGCUGAAUUCCCAGGUGGUGAACAGACGUGGGGAAGAAACUGGCCAGGCAGAUUCUUGGCUAUAACCCCUCAGCCUCUGCCACGUUCAUCCCAUCAGAACAUCUGGAGUUAGCUAGAAUAAAGCUGGCACCUGGUGGCCGAAGGUCUGCGGA
rnacentral:lncRNA from 1 species